UACGUAGGGUGCAAGCGUUGUCCGGAAUUAUUGGGCGUAAAGAGCUCGUAGGCGGUCUGUCGCGUCGAAUGUGAAAACCCGGGGCUCAACCCCGGGCCUGCAUUCGAUACGGGCAGACUAGAGUUCGGUAGGGGAGUCUGGAAUUCCUGGUGUAGCGGUGAAAUGCGCAGAUAUCAGGAGGAACAUCGGUGGCGAAGGCGGGACUCUGGGCCGAUACUGACGCUGAGGAGCGAAAGCGUGGGGAGCAAACAGG
rnacentral:rRNA from 1 species